rnacentral:rRNA from 1 species
CUUGGGUGACGAGUGGCGGACGGGUGAGUAAUGUCUGGGAAACUGCCCGAUGGAGGGGGAUAACUACUGGAAACGGUAGCUAAUACCGCAUAACGUCGCAAGACCAAAGAGGGGGACCUUCGGGCCUCUUGCCAUCGGAUGUGCCCAGAUGGGAUUAGCUAGUAGGUGGGGUAACGGCUCACCUAGGCGACGAUCCCUAGCUGGUCUGAGAGGAUGACCAGCCACACUGGAACUGAGACACGGUCCAGACUCCUACGGGAGGCAGCAGUGGGGAAUAUUGCACAAUGGGCGCAAGCCUGAUGCAGCCAUGCCGCGUGUAUGAAGAAGGCCUUCGGGUUGUAAAGUACUUUCAGCGAGGAGGAAGGCGUUGUGGUUAAUAACCGCAGCAAUUGACGUUACUCGCAGAAGAAGCACCGGCUAACUCCGUGCCAGCAGCCGCGGUAAU